AGGGAUGUAUCUCAAACCAUAGAGCACUCACUUUGCAUGUGAGAGGUACGGGGUUCGAUACCCUGCAUCUCCA
rfam:Picea glauca, whole genome shotgun sequence.